rnacentral:rRNA from 1 species
AUGCCUAUCAGCCUUGGGAGAGCAAGACUAGUGCACUUUCAGUUCAUUUUAGAUUGAAUCAGAGCUCGCCUAGCUCGAUGGAAAGGCCGGCUAAUGUCUUUUGCGGGAAGAAGAGUGUUGGUCCGGUGUGUGCUCUCUGCAAUUCCAACCUUCGCCCUGUUAGUGUUGCGACCACCCAAGAAAUUGCUCAAAGAAAUUGACAAAGUGCGUCAAUGAUUCCUAUGGGCGCAAGAGGAAGACCUUACUGCUGGCCACUGCAAGGCCGCAUGGAGAAUAUUUGUACGCCAACUAAAAAUGGCGGCCUGGGAAUACAUGAUCUUCAGAAAUUCUCCAGGGCUUUGCGCCAGAGAUGGAUGUGGCUCACUUGGAAAAAUGAAGAACGGCCAUGGAAGGGGUCCGAGCUGCUGUGUGAUAGCAUGGGCAGAGCUUCCUUCGACAGUGCAACCACGUCAUCCUUUGAAACGGCAAACUGGCCUCCUUUUGGCAAUCACCAUGGUUCACCUCACCAUGCCUUGCAGCGCUGUUCCCAGACUAGUUCAAGCGAUAGAGGGGGAAAAAGAGAUGUGUGGCUGA